AGGUUUCAGCAAUGGGAACACAUGGAAGCAGCAGAGGCGUUUUGCAUUGUCGACCCUCAAAUAUUUUGGAUUUGGCAAGAAGUCACUUGAACCUGUCAUCUUGAAUGAAUUUAUGCAUUGUGCAAAAGACUUCAUUAGCCAUAAAUGAAAACCAUUCAAUCCUCACCUCGUCCUCAACAACACUGUCUCCAACAUCAUCUGCACCUUGGUUUUUGGUCAUCGCUUUGAGUACAGUGAUGAGAAGUUUAUGAAACUGAUGAAGAGCUUUGGCAAAGCUUUCCAGCUUCUAGUCUCCAUCUGGGCACAGCUUUACUACUCAUUCCCUCUGCUGAUGAGACGUUUGCCAGGGCCACAUCAGACAGUCCUGCACAUCUGGAGCAAUGUGAAGGACUUCAUAAGAAUGGAGCUUAAGCAGCACAGACAGAACUGGGAUCCCUCAGACCAAAGAGACUUUAUCGACUGCUACCUGAAUGAGACU